rnacentral:rRNA from 1 species
GACAGAGGUCCCGAGCGUUGCUCGGAAUCACUGGGCGUAAAGCGCACGUAGGCGGACUCUUAAGUCGGUGGUGAAAUCCUGGAGCUCAACUCCAGAACUGCCUUCGAUACUGAGAGUCUCGAGUCCGAGAGAGGUGAGUGGAACUGCGAGUGUAGAGGUGAAAUUCGUAGAUAUUCGCAAGAACACCAGUGGCGAAGGCGGCUCACUGGCCCGGUACUGACGCUGAGGUGCGAAAGCGUGGGAGCAAACAGG